rnacentral:rRNA from 1 species
CCUACGGGAGGCAGCAGUAGGGAAUAUUGCGCAAUGGGCGGAAGCCCGACCCAGCCAUGCCGCGUGAAGGAAGACGGCCUUAUGGGUUGUAAACUUCUUUACUAUGCGACUAACUAGAUUUACGAGAUAAUUCUAUAGAAUGUAGCAUAGCAAAAAGCACCGGCUAACUCCGUGCCAGCAGCCGCGGUAAUACAGAGGGUGCGAGCGUUAUUCGGAAUUACUGGGUUUAAAGGGUACGUAGGCGGUAAAAGAAGUCAUCUGUGAAAACCUAUUGCUCAACGAUAGGCUAGCGGAUGAAACUGAAUUACUUGAGGGCACCAGAGGUAGACGGAAUUACCCGAGUAGGGGUGAAAUCCGCAGAUACGGGUAGGAACGCCGGUGGAGAAGUCGGUCUACUGGGGUGCACCAGACGCUGAGGCCCGAAAGCUAGGGGAGCAAACCGGAUUAGAUACCCUAGUAGUC